rnacentral:rRNA from 1 species
GAUCUGACUAAGUGGUUUAGCUGAAAGGUUAACACUGCUUUGGUUGGAUCUUUCCUUCUGGGGAAUUAAUGUGCCCUUUGCUGGGUGCGUUAACAAUCCAGGACUGUUACUUUGAAAAAAUUAGAGUGUUUAAAACAGGCUUAUGUUUGAAUAGAUUAGCAUGGAAUAACGGAAUAGGACUUUGUUUCUAUUGUGUUGGUUUUCAGAAACGAAGUA